UAAUAUCAUUAACUCUCAGAUCUUACAUUACACAUCGCACAGUAAAUCUCUUAUAUGAUGUGUUGCUUAAAUCACAGAAUGGCUUCAAACUGUUUAAGAAGCAGCAGCAGAGUUCUGAAAGCUGACUGGCUGGAGGCAAGCAGAAGGCUGGUAGAAAUGCAGAGAAAGUCUUUGAGGGAAUAAAAUAAAAUAAUGGACACUGCUGGAGAUGCUAUUGCAGAGUUCAAGCUACAGAGAUAGACUUGAGUUGAGCUAUCAGGAAUAAAGAAGAAAUGUGUUCAAUCAUGGAGCCUGCCGAGGUGAAGAACAGAAUGGACUCCAGACAGAUAAAUGGACAGUAGGUCCAGACAACAGACAAACAGCAGGUACAUAGCACUGCAGAAGAGAUGGAACAAAACCCAAGAAAUGUGCACUCAGUGCUAUAUUGUAAGACAGAAUCCAGAGAAAGAAAUCUCUCUCUGGGAGGUAUUAAAACAGUCCUGGAAAUCCCACCAGCUUUCUGUGCUUAAAAUGCUUAAUAAGCAUCCCUCCACUGAAGGCUCAGAGAGGCAGAAAGAUUGUAAGAGCCAGAAUGGGUAGAUGACUCCAGGGAAACAGUAUGUUCCAGACACAAGACUGAUAUACAUAUUUACCUACAGACACUGUGACAGCAUGCCCAAGGCCUACAGACAAGCUCAAACAAGACAAAACCCCAGCAUGAAAAAGAGGAGGUUGGCAUGAAAUCCCACUCUUAGUUAAUCUAUUUUCAAUUGAUAGCUGCUGGGAAAGGGAAAUCCCAGUUUUUUCCAAUGGAGUGGCACCGGAUAUCUUUUCUUUUCUGUGUUGUUUUUAUUUUUGUUUUGAAUUAUUUUUUUAAAGAAAGAGGAGAAAACGUGAAGUUUGGCGGGUAAUGUGGUGAAGGAGAAUCUGGGAGGAGUUGAGGUAGUGGAAACAAUAUGAUGAAAAUGUAUUGUUUGAAGUUCUCAAAUGAAUAAAAGCAUAAAGAAAUCAAUAAAUUUCGGUUUGGAGUUAGAAAAGAAUUUCCAACAAUUUUGAAAUGACUCUAAGAAUGACAAUUUCAAAAUCAAAAUAUCCAUCAAGUCUGAGAAACUUGUCCCUGGGACAAACCCAGCAGGAGUGAGCUGCGCCCUGUCCCCUGUGCAUUCCAUUUUCUAGCCCACCGCUCUACCUGCAUUCCCAGAGGUCUACUGGCUACCAGGGACAACCAGAUGAGAACCCUCCCCACCACCCCCUCCAUGCCAAGUCCCCCUAAAACACACUCAACAGUAGAAAUCUGUACCUGCAAUUCUGAACUCCAUUUCCUUGCCAACAACUCUGCCUACAUUCCUGGAGGCCUACCAGCACCAGGAACAACCGGAUCGCUAAAGACCAGCAUAAAUAUACAAUCAACAAGAGCCAAGAAAAUAUGUUAUCACUAGAGCCCAGCUAUCCUACUAAAACAAGCCCUGGAUAUCCAAGCACAGCUGAAGCACAGGAAAGUGAUCCUAAAUACAAUCUUAUGGAGAUGAUACAGAUGUUUAAGGAAGAAAUGAAUAAAUCUCUUAAAGAAAUACAGAAAAAUAUAAUCAAACAGGUGAAGAAAAUGAAUAAAAAUGUUUCAAGACCUGAAAAUGCAAAUAGAAGUCAUAAAGAAAUUGCAAAUUGAGGGAAUUAUGGACAUGGAAAACCUAGAUAAGAGAACAGAAACUACUGACAUAAGCAUCACCAACUAAAUACAAGAGGUGGAAGAGAGACUCACAGGCUUAAAUAAUUCAAAGAAAAUAUUAAAUCUAAAAAGUUUCUGAUGCAAACCAUCCAGAAAAUUCGGGACACUAUGAAAAUAUGAAAUCUAAGAAUUAUAGAAUUAAAAGAAGACGAUUCCCAGAUCAGAGGCCCAGAAAAUAUUUUUUAACAAAAUCAUAGAAGAAAAUUUCCUGAACCUAAAGAGAUGCCAAAAAUACACAAGAAGUUUACAGAACAAUAUUGGAGCAAAAAAAAAUCUUCCUGGUAUGUAAUAACUAACUAAAACACUGAAUGUACAGAACAAAGAAAGAAUAUUAAAAGCAGCAAGAAAAAAAAAAAAAGGCCAAGUAACAUGUAAAGGCAGACCUGGGAGAAUUAUACCUCACAUUUCAAAAGAGACUCUAAAAGCCAGAAGGGGCUGGGCAGAUACACUGCAGACUCUAACAGACCACAUAUGUCAGUCCAAACCCAGCAAAAUUUUAACCUCCAUAGAUGGAGAAAAACAAGAUAUUCCAUGACAAAAAAAAAAAAAAAAAAAAAAAAAAAAAAAAAAAUUAAACAAUAUCUAUCCACCAAUCCUGCUGUAGAAUUAAUAUUAGUCUCGAAGGUGUUUCUCUAUCCCAGCUAGUUCCCAAAUAAUGGAGACCUUUUCUUUUUUUCUUUUUUUUAACAAAGGCUUUAAGGCGCUGCUAUAACUGGACAAGUAUCAACUCUCUAAGCUGUUUUGCUCUUUCCCAGUUACACACCCAAGCUACUAGCUGGACUGCUUCCGGUGCCUGAGCUGCUUCUGUUCCAUGAGGCCAGCCCUCAUGGCCUGGUGCUCAUAGUCCUUUCUGCUCCACUUCUUCUCUUGCCUCUACAUCUUCUGCUUCCUCUCUUCUGCCACAUCUUCUCUCUCCACCUCAUGGUCCUCAUCUUACUCACAGCCUGGGAAACUAAGCUCUGACUACUUCUCUCCUUCCCAGUUAGAGGUUUCAGCAACUGUAUUAACCAGUUAGAGAAUAUUGGAAAGCAAAGUUACACAAAGUCACACACACAACAUCAUUUGGUAUGUGUGAAAAUGCACUCAUCUAGGGAGCCAGAUCUUGGGGACUAGUAAUUAGUGUUAGAAUACAUAGCAGCAGACUAACCCCCAAUAAUAUCUUUCAAUAAAUCCAGCCCUAAAGAAGAUAGUAGAAGGAAAACUCCAACCCAAGGAUUUUUAACAAAACCCAAGAAAAUACCCGGGAUAUCUGCUCGGAUAUCCCGUGGUAGCCCAGUAACCAAUUGGUUUCCCAUAGUAAGUGGAAUAGGGACUAUUUCUAACAGGAACUCAAUGGCUGGCUCUUUGACCUCCCCACCCCCCAAGGGAGAAGCAGUCCUGCUAGGCCACAAAGGAGGACUUUGCAGCCAGUCCUGAAGAUACCUGAUGAAACAGGGUCAGAUGAAAGGGGAGGAGGUCCUCCCCCAUCAGUGGACUUGGAAAGGGGCAGGGAAGAGAUGAGGAAGGGAGGGUGGGAUUGGGAAGGAAUGAGGGAGCGGGAUACAGCUGGGAUACAGAGUUAAAAAAAUGUAACUAAUAAGAAAAAUUUUUAAAAAAUAGUGAAAAAAAAUAAUUACUAAAAAAAAAAAAAAAUCCCACACCAGCAAAACCAAACUCUCCGUCUCUGUCUCUGUGUCUGUUCCUCUCUCUGUGUUUCUCCCACCACCAACAUUAAAAUAACAGAAAUUAGCAAUCACUGGUCAUUAAUUCCUCUCAACAUCGAUGGACUCAAUUCUCUAAUAAAAAGAUCAACAGAAUGGAUGGAUACAAAAAGAGAAUCCAUCAUCUUGCUGCAAACAAGAAACAUACCUCAGCAAGUAAGAUAAACAUUCCUCAGAGUAAAGGGCUAGAAAAAGGUUUUCCAAGCAAAUUAACCCAAACAGCAAGCUGGGGCAGUUAUUCUAAUAUCUAAUAAAAAUAGACUUUCAACCAAAAUUAAUCAAAAGAGAUGAGAAAGUACACUUCAUACUCAUCAAAGGAAAAGUCCACCAAAAUGACAUCUCAAUUCUGAACAUCUAUGCCUCAAAUGCAAGGGUACCCACAUUUGUAAAAGAAACACUACUAAUCACACAAUGAACCCUACACAUCAUUAGUGAAAGACUUGAGCACCUCACUCUCACCAAUGGUCAGGACAUCAAGACAGAAACUAAACAGAGAAAUAAUAAAAUAACCAGUUGUAUGCAACAAAUGGAACUAACAUAUCUAUAAAACAUUUCACCCAAACACAAAAGAAUAUACCUUCUUCUCAACACCUCCUGAAAACUUCUCCAAAACUGACAAUGUAAUACAAGCCACAACAGAAUAAGAAAACUGAAAUAACUUUUUGUCUCUGAUCAGACCACCAUGGAUUAAAGCUUGACUUCAACAACAGAAAGUCAUGGAAACUCAUGGAAACUGACAACUCUCUACUCAAUGAACA